GAUGAAGAACGUAGCGAUAUGCGAUACUUGGUGUGAAUUGCAGAAUCCCGUGAACCAUCGAGUCUUUGAACGCAAGUUGCGCCCGAAGCCUCGGCUAAGGGCACGUCUGCCUGGGCGUCACGCAUCGCGUCUCCCCCAAACCGCCAAGGCGGAGGGGAAGGAAGAUGGCUUCCCGUGCCUCACCCGGGCGCGGUUGGCCUAAAUUUGGAGCCCGCGGCACUUAGCUCUCGCGGCGAUAGGUGGUGAACAAGGCCUUGGCCGUGCAAACAACCCGCUGCGAAGCUCUAUGUCACGUGCGCUCGUCGGACCCUUUGAAGUUGCCUUCGGUGACUUAAAACCUUUGCGACCCCAGGUCAGGCGGGGCUACCCGCUGAAUUUAAGCAUAUCAAUAAGCGGAGGA
rnacentral:misc_RNA from 1 species